UCACCUUUAAGCACAAAAGCAUGGGUCAGUUUUUAAUGUCCUUAUUAAGAGCUUCAGAAUCUACAAACAUUGUCUGUUUCCCUAAAUGUCACAAACUAAUGGGUAACUAACAUGGAUUAGCUGUGGUCAUUAACCAAGGACUAAAACAAACCAACAGAACACGAAAUAUAAUUCCCUAACAUUCAACACCAUAAAACACAUUCUGACGUGUGUAAUGUGAUCCCUUCUGUCUGGGGUUUAGAUUUAUUUCGUUUUAACAACCAAACGCAGCACAGAAGUCCGGCAUCGUCCAUGUGUUUGAGGUAAAGGAGCACCGUACAAAGAUGGCGGCAGUUUUGACGCAUUUUUAGGACCCCAAGGCAACAUCUAGUGUAUAGAUAUCUGUGUAUGAUUGGUUAAGACCAUAUAUACAUAUCUACAUAGAUAUCUAUGGGGUAAUACGACAGUUAUACCUGGAUAUGACGGAGCUCUAUGAUUGGUUAAUACGACAGUUAUACCCGGAUAUGACGCAGCUCUAUGAUUGGUUAAUACGACAGUUAUACCUGGAUAUGACGGAGCUCUAUGAUUGGUUAAUACGACAGUUAUACCCGGAUAUGACGCAGCUCUAUGAUUGGGUAAUACGACAAUCCCCCACCCCCUUUUUUUUAAAGCGAAUGAAACAGAGGAGGAGGCGUGUUUCUGUAAACAGCUGGAUCACGUUGGGUUGUUGUUCAUCUACACAACUGGAGCAGACCUGAAAACUUCACCGGAUCUCAAGUGAUCAGACUAAAACAAGCAGAAAGAGAAAGGAGAAGUUUCCUGCAGUCAGUGUUAAUGACAGGGGACAAAACAACCUCAUGAACUUUAUCUACUUCACACUGAAUCACAGGAAAUGUCCUUCUUUGUGUGAGCUAAGAGCUGUGUGUGACAUCAGACAGCUGUUCUUUAUAACGUGUCUGUUUGUUUCUCCACAAGACAUCCAGACAUCCUGUCCCUCCUUUAUAUCUCCAUCUUAUGGCUCUGUGCCUGUGUGGACAGUGUAGAUCCUGAGGUUACUGUAUCAGCUCCAGUGGGUUCCACAGUCAUCCUGCCGUGUAAACUGCCUGAAGACUUCAAACUGACAUCACUUAUUAAGUGGUGGAUCAAAAUAUACCCUGUGUUCGAGAGAAACGAUAAUAGUAAUAGUUGAGGUAAAGGAUAUGAAGGACGUGUGGAUGUUCCUGUGGACGAGCUGCAUAAAGGAAACUGUUCCCUGGUGAUGAAGAACGUUAAUUUUACUGAUGACGGUUUAUACACAUCCGAAAGUACGGAACAUGUGGGCUCAAUGGAAUGGAAAGUAAUUAACAAUGUUAGACUCUCAGUCCAAGACCACAGUGUUGAUGAGAGAGGACCUUCAUCAGAUGAUUCAGACUCACAGCAGACUGGAGGGAACAACAGGAUUAUUUUAUAUGUUGGGAUCGUAAUCAUCAUCAUCAUCAUCUUCAUCUGUGUGUCUGUGUACUACAGCAGGGUGAAAGGUCUGAGACGUGUCACUGACGCCACUGAACAGGGACGGAAACAUUCAAAUAAAAUAACAUUUUAACCACUUUUUUGUUGUUAGAUUUUGGUUGUAGUUCAGGUGGGGAGUUUACAGAAACAUGGCAACCCUCCCUGCCUACUUUGGGUCACUGUCAUUUUAAAGGUACAUUAGACAAGAUCAGAAACUUUGGUCAGAAGAAACCACAAAGUCUUUUUAAACUUUACACUUCUGGACAUUUUGUGGUACUUUAUUUUCUGUGUUCUUUUUAUUUCCUUGUCAUGGAGCAGUUAUUUUGAGCACAGAGAAUGAUCUCGAUGUGCAGGUGAAAGUUCAGACUGAGAUGGAGCGAAGGAGCUUUGUGGGAUUUCUAUAAAUGAGACGAGAUUCAAACACAAACAAACCUGUUUCAGUCCCAUAAUACACUCGUGUUGAGGUCGUGACUUACAUCACUAUUAUUUAUUCACUAGUUUCCAGGUUCUGUGUUAGGGACAAGAGACAGUCACCAUCACACACAGUCUGGUGUUCUGUCUCUUACACUAAUAUUAUUUAUUUAUAGGAUUUAUUAUCAGUUAUUAAUGUAAUACGAAGCCACAAUAAUAAGCCAAGUGUUUAAGGGAUUAAAUUAGAAAUGUGACCAGAAAAGUGUGAAAUAUUCUAAUAAAUGUAAGUGAACAGAAUUCAGUAAACAGAACAGUUAAUGUCAAAGUUUACACAAUAAACAGGAAAAAAAAAUCUGUUCAGUGUUUCAUCAUCACCACCAUCACCAUCAUCAUCAUCUGAAUGUCUCUACAGGACGGAAACAGACAUCACAGUGUUCAGAACAACACAACGUCAGUGUGACGUACACAACAGUCACCACACAACCACAGAGUUAAUGACCAACACAAGAUCAUCUUAAACUUCAUCCCUGAGCCACUGAGCUGAUGUUCAUCUCUGGAGCUUCAUCACCAUGUCAGGAUCUUCUGAUUUACUGCAGAACUCAGAUCACACAUCAUGGACCAUCAGUUACUCUUCUAUCUAACCAGACUUGGUCAUGUGAUGUUACACUAAAUAAUGAACUGUGAUCAGCAGGAAUUUUUACGUUUAUAUUCAUUUUUUAAUAUAUAUUUUUAUAUUUUCAUGCAUAGGAACUUUAUAGGAACCUGGGUUCAGCUCAUUCCAGUAAUAUAUGUAUUAUGUACAUUAUAUUGCCUUAAGCUGAGAAUUGUGUGUGGUCUUUAAUAACUACCUGUGUAUUAAAUCUUUAUAUUCCGUCAUUACCAGACAGGGCAGAGCUCCACUGUGCCUAGUGUCUGUUUUGUGUCAAAUCUAAUAGAUAUAAACUGACAUGUGGAAAUGAGCUCUGUACUGUCCUCUGGCCAGAUGUGUUACUGCUGCUAUACACACUGUCCUCUGGCCAGAUGUGUUACUGCUGCUAUACACACUGUCCUCUGGCCAGAUGUGUUACUGCUGCUAUACAUACAGUCCUCUGGCCAGAUGUGUUACUGCUGCUAUACAUACAGUCCUCUGGCCAGAUGUGUUACUGCUGCUAUACACACUGUCCUCUGGCCAGAUGUGUUACUGCUGCUAUACACACUGUCCUCUGGCCAUCCAUGGCAGAGGGAGAGAGCCCCAAAAUAAAAAAUUAAUACUACAAAAACCUGUGUUGAAAAAUGCUGUAUACAAGCGAUGUAGUAGAUUACAAUCACCGACAUAAUCACAGCGCGCGGUCGUCUCUCCAUGGUGUGUGUGUGUGUGUGUGUGUGUGUGUGUCAGCGCGCGGUCGUCU